GAAACAUGUAUUUACAGAAAAACUGUGUAAAAACUGUAAUAUGCUCAGGGGAGAUUUACACAAUGUUACCAAUUCAUGUCAGAAAAGAUAUGUAGUGUCUUAAAACUUGAAUAAAGAUAUGUGCAAAAACAAACAAACAAACAAACAAAAAAA